AACAGGUGCCGCAAGGCUUAAUAGGGAAGAUCGGUGCGAUGCCGACACGGUCCCGCCACUGUGAAGCGGAGCGAAUUUCGAUAUGCCAUUGGGAAACCGAGAAGGCGAAACAAGCGAGGAUGCAAAGUCAGGAGAACUGCCUGUUUG
rnacentral:ncRNA from 1 species